rnacentral:rRNA from 1 species
GACGAACGCUGGCGGCGUGCUUAACACAUGCAAGUCGAACGGAAAGGCCCUGCUUUUGUGGGGUGCUCGAGUGGCGAACGGGUGAGUAACACGUGAGUAACCUGCCCUUGACUUUGGGAUAACUUCAGGAAACUGGGGCUAAUACCGGAUAGGAUCUCCUGCUGCAUGGUGGGGGUUGGAAAGUUUCGGCGGUUGGGGAUGGACUCGCGGCUUAUCAGCUUGUUGGUGGGGUAGUGGCUUACCAAGGCUUUGACGGGUAGCCGGCCUGAGAGGGUGACCGGCCACAAUAGGACUGAGAUACGGACCAGAAUCCAACGGGAGGCAGCAGUGGGGAAUAUUGCACAAUGGGCGGAAGCCUGAUGCAGCAACGUCGCGUGCGGGAUGACGGGCUUCGGGUUGUAAACCGCUUUCGACUGUGACGAAGCGUGAGUGACGGUAAUGGGUAAAGAAGCACCGGCUAACUACGUG